AAAGGAAAGAGAGCUUUAUAGUUAUCAGUAACAAAUUAACGGACACACUGUGUACUCAUUCGCCACACAACCAACAAAUGAGGCAAUAUCCUAAGCGCACUCAUUUCACUACAACAUUUUUCAAAGUUCAAAACUACCCACACUAACAUUUAAACGAAUCAUCCAUCCCGAGGGGUAUAACCGUCAUUUCAAACACUUCCUUUCAUCCUUACCACAAAAACAUUGAGGAAAAUAAUUAUCGAAAC
rnacentral:misc_RNA from 1 species